UACGUAGGCAGCGAGCGUUGUUCGGAAUUACUGGGCGUAAAGAGUGUGUAGGCGGUGCUCUAAGUUCGGUGUGAAAUCUCCUGGCUUAACUGGGAGGGUGCGCCGGAAACUGGAGUGCUCGAGUGUGGGAGAGGAAAGCGGAAUUCCUGGUGUAGCGGUGAAAUGCGUAGAUAUCAGGAGGAACACCUGUGGUGUAGACGGCUUUCUGGACCAUUGCUGACGCUGAGACACGAAAGCGUGGGUAGCAAACAGG
rnacentral:rRNA from 1 species